AGCGAACGCUGGCGGUAGGCCUAACACAUGCAAGUCGAACGGCAGCACAGUAAGAGCUUGCUCUUACGGGUGGCGAGUGGCGGACGGGUGAGGAAUACAUCGGAAUCUACUUUUUCGUGGGGGAUAACGUAGGGAAACUUACGCUAAUACCGCAUACGACCUACGGGUGAAAGCAGGGGAUCUUCGGACCUUGCGCGAUUGAAUGAGCCGAUGUCGGAUUAGCUAGUUGGCGGGGUAAAGGCCCACCAAGGCGACGAUCCGUAGCUGGUCUGAGAGGAUGAUCAGCCACACUGGAACUGAGACACGGUCCAGACUCCUACGGGAGGCAGCAGUGGGGAAUAUUGGACAGUGGGCGCAAGCCUGAUCCAGCCAUACCGCGUGGGUGAAGGAGGCCUUCGGGUUGUAAAGCCCUUUUGUUGGGAAAGAAAAGCAGCAGGUUAAUACCCCGCUGUUCUGACGGUACCCAAAGAAUAAGCACCGGCUAACUUCGUG
rnacentral:rRNA from 1 species